UUUAAGAAUAAACUAUAACCAGUUAAAGCUAAUAAAGGCAAAUGGGAAUCCUUGCCUCCUUGGGAACUUAAAACUCUUAGGCUAGCGCAUAAAAUGGAACCAUUCUCUCAAAAACAAAGAAUCAAGAUUCUCAACAACUCAAAUUCAAGAACUAUAAUGGAAAUUUGAGAGAUCCAAAGCUUUUCUCAAAUGGUUUUCAAAGUCAAAAACCAAAAGAAAAACACCGGCGCUAAACAAUGAACGAGAAUUGAGAAUUGUCAAAUGAGAACUGACAAGAAAUGGAAUUUCAAUACGUACCCUUGAACAUUAUUGAGG
rnacentral:misc_RNA from 1 species